CAAAGUGCUGGGAUUACAGGCGUGAGCCACCAUGCCCGGCCGGGAAGCCAAUUUAUAACAAGUUUUCUUGGUAAACAUGGGUAAUUAGUUGACGACCCUAAUGGUCCCUACCCCUCAAAGUUUGGUGCGUCCUCUCUCUCUCUCCCAGCCGUGUGAGGACACAACACGAAGUUGGCCAUCUGGGGACCAGGAAGAGAGCUCUCCCCAGAACCCAACUAUGCUCGCGCUUGAGUUUUGACUUCCUAGCCUCUGCUAGAUGGAGUCUUACUAUGUUACCCAGCAUAAUCUUCAAUUCCUGGCCCCAAGUGAUCCUCCUGCCUCAGCCUCCCAAAGCACUGGGAUUAUAGGUGUGAGCCACUGCAUCUGGCCAAUGCAGGUAUCUCUGCAAGAGGGAGACAGAGGGACAUUAGAUACACCGAGGAGAAGGCCGUGUGAAGAUGGAGCAGAGAGAGAUUUGAAGAUGCUGACCUUGAAGACUGGAGCGAUGCAGCCACGAGCCAAGGAAUGCUGCUGGCCACCAGAAGGUGGAAGAAACCAGGAACAGAUUCUCCCUGGGAGCCUGCAGCCAGUGCACAGCUGAGCAGUAUGGAGUUUAGACUUCUGGCCUCCAGAACUGUGAGAGAGUAGAUUUCUGUUGUGUUAAGCUACCAAGGAUUGUGCUAAUGUCAGCAGUCAUUGGAAAUGCAUACACUGGCCAUCCCACAAAUCCCAGGCUCUGAACUCACAGCCAGGUCCCUACCCGGGCUCCUGGUUAAGUGCUUUGGAUGUGUUGCCUCUUACUCCUCCAGUGAGCCAGAGGGGAGGACCUAUUAGUAUCCCCACUUCCCAGAGGAGGAAAACGAGGUGUCAAGAGGUCAGAUCAUCUUCCCGAGGUCACGGAGCAGGUCUGUGACAGAGGCUGAUUCUCACUGAGAUGGGUGUAAUGCCAGGGGGAACACUUCACCAUUCUGCCACUCUGUCCCCAGCCAUGAACAUAGAUUCCUAAAAAUGUUAUGUACACAAGGGUUUGAGUUCUGGUAAAGGAAUUAGGGCCUCCCUCUCUCGGUGCCCGAAGUCAUAAAAGUUAUUAUGUAUAACAACAACAUUUCAAAAUCCCAACUCAGCCACGGGGUGAUGGCAGGUUCUUUUGUGCUCCUCCCUCCUAACCCUGCUGUGCCACAGGGCAGCAAACUGGGACCCUAAGAAGUGGCGGCUUGCUCCAAGUCUUAAGGCUGGUCCCCUGAUGUUAGAGCCAGAAUCAGAAGCCAGUUCAGAAUUUCCCCACCCAGCACACAGAGUACAUUUUAGGAGUAAAUUAGGCAGCUGAAAUGUGAAAAGAAAUGGGGACUUGGUCACAUGAUCCUUGUUAUUGAAGACAGUCCCAAGACCAUUGUCCAGAAUUAAACUCUAAAAUCAAAUGAAUUUUCCAAACACAUGCAUGCUGCCUGCCCUCCACCAGAGGUGGAAGGUGGCCAGGCAAGCCAGACUGGGCGCCACCUAGGUCACUGGAGAUCAGGGGAGGACACCGGACCAGAACAGGUCCAUUGGCUGUCGGGGCCCAUGAGGACUCCCUCUAAUGGGGCAAAGUAUUGAAUCCAUCAGACUGGCUCCCUGCAGUGGACUGGCCAAUUUGUAGAGGACCGGACAACAGAGACAGAGACACAGGGUUAAGGGGCAGAAGGGAAGACCCUGUCGCCAGAGCAGCCUUGCAUUCUGGCAGCUUUCCCUCCUCACUCUUCAUCCUGAAGGAAGCCUCCGUGGGUUCUCCAUUCUAACCAUGUCAGAGUCAGCCUCUCACGUAGCUCUUAAGGCACAAAAAAGAGUCAAAUGUAUACAGUAGGCAGGUCUUCUCCCAGUCCUUUUGCUUGGCAUCUUUGCGUUCAGAUCCCUGCAGUUGUGAUUCCUUUGUGAAGUGAUACACUUACGAAUGCCUUACUGAAUUAAUUUUGCUGCCUGUCACUCUAGCAAAUCCAGUCAGAUUUGCCAGGGUUUGUUCUCCUCCUUACAGGUCCAGGAGGGCUCCUGGGCGAGCCAGCUUCAGGUGGAGACCACAGCACAUCCCCCUUUUCGUACUCCAAAAGCCAAAAGAAGAUGGGGUUGGGGUGAGGCAAUCUGGGACCCCAUUUUCUUUCUAUUAAUCUUGCCUGAAUUACGUGUUGAAAAAUGAAUGUUAAGGCUGGGCGCAGUGGCUCAUGCUGUAAUCCCAGCACUUUGGGAGGCCAAGGUGGGCAGAUUGUUUGAGCUCAGGAGUUAGAGUCCAGCCUGGGCAAUAUAGCGAGACCUCAUCUCUACAAAAAAAAAAAAAAAAUUAGCCAGAUGUGGUUGUGCAUAACUGUGGUCCCAGCUACUUGAGGGGCUGAGGUGGGAGGAUCACUUAAACCUGGGAGGUCAAAGCAAAAGUGAGCUAUGAUUGUGCCACUGCACUCCAGCCUGGGUGGCAGAGUGAGACCCUAUCUCAAUAAAUAAUAGUAAUAAUACUAGUAGUGUAGAAUGAUUUAAGUGCCCUGAAAAAGCAAUAACAUGGGAUAAGUACUCAGAGAAAGAACUGCUUCUAGCCCAGGAUGCAUAGCAAUUGGGAUAUCCUCCUUUGAACUGGGUCUUGAAGGAUGAGUAGGAUUUGCCAUGUGGCAAACAGAACCAGAGAGAAGAGGUGUGGGGCAAAGAAGCCAUCUAGUUCAGCUAGAGUGGAGGAAGCUGGAAGGGAAGGCCGGUUAGAAAAAGGUUGAUGCAGCUGGGCACGGUGGCUCACACAUGUAAUCUCAGCACUGUGGGAGUCCGAGGUGGGCGGAUCACAAGGUCAGUAUUUCGA